rnacentral:rRNA from 1 species
GAGUUUGAUCCUGGCUCAGAGUGAACGCUGGCGGCGUGCCUAAUACAUGCAAGUCGAACGAUGAAGCUUCUAGCUUGCUAGAAGUGGAUUAGUGGCGCACGGGUGAGUAAUGCAUAGGUUAUGUGCCCUUUAGUCUGGGAUAGCCACUGGAAACGGUGAUUAAUACUGGAUACUCCCUACGGGGGAAAGGGGCUUUCAAUAAAGAAUUUCUCUUUUUAGUGUUUUGUGUUGUUGGCACAAAAUUCUAGUAUUUGGAAUGAGAAAUUGAUGUUGUGAAGCAAUUUGUGCGGAGACUAGACUUAGUGUCUGUCGCACAAGCAAAUUGCGAACUCAUCGAUUUAUCGUCCAAAGACGAAUUUUUUAUUGAAAGCCUUCGCUAAAGGAUCAGCCUAUGUCCUAUCAGCUAGUUGGUGAGGUAAUGGCUCACCAAGGCUAUGACGGGUAUCCGGCCUGAGAGGGUGAUCGGACACACUGGAACUGAGACACGGUCCAGACUCCUACGGGAGGCAACAAUACGGAAUAUUGCUCAAUGGGGGAAACCCUGAACAGCAACCGCCCCCUGGAAGACGACGUUUUACGAUUGUAACCUCCUUUUGGACGA